rnacentral:rRNA from 1 species
AUACGGAGGGUGCAAGCGUUACUCGGAAUCACUGGGCGUAAAGCGCGCGCAGGCGGCUAUUUAAGUUGGAUGUGAAAGCCUACGGCUCAACCGUAGAACUGCAUCCAAAACUAUUUAGCUAGAGUGUGGGAGAGGAAGAUGGAAUUAGUUGUGUAGGGGUAAAAUCCGUAGAGAUAACUAGGAAUACCAAAAGCGAAGGCAAUCUUCUGGAACACUACUGACGCUGAGGCGUGAAAGCGUGGGGAGCAAACAGGAUUAGAAACCCUUGUAGUCC